AUUGAACGCUGGCGGCAGGCUUAACACAUGCCAGUCGAGCGCGCGGCGGACGGGUGAGUAAUGUCUGGGAAACUGCCUGAUGGAGGGGGAUAACUACUGGAAACGGUAGCUAAUAACGCAUACCAUCAGAUGUGCCCAGAUGGGAUUAGCUAGUCGGUGGGGUAAUUGCUCACCUAGGCGACGCUCCCUAGCUGGUCUGCGAGGAUGACCAGCCACACUGGAACGGAGACACGGUCCAGACUCCUACGGGAGGCAGCAGUGGAGAAUAUUGAACAAUGGGCGCAAGCCUGAUGCAGCCAUGCCGCGUGUGUGAAGAGGGCCUUCGGGGUGUAAAGCACUUUCAGCGAGGAGGCGUUACUCGCAGAAGAAGCACCGGCUAACUCCGUGCCAGCAGCCGCGGUAAUUC
rnacentral:rRNA from 1 species